rnacentral:rRNA from 1 species
ACAGGGAUUGCCCUAGUAACGGCGAGUGAAGCGGCAACAGCUCAAAUUUGAAAUCUGGCUCUUUCAGAGUCCGAGUUGUAAUUUGCAGAGGGCGCUUUGGCGUUGGCAGCGGUCCAAGUUCCUUGGAACAGGACGUCACAGAGGGUGAGAAUCCCGUACGUGGUCGCUGGCCUUCGCCGUGUAAAGCCCCUUCGACGAGUCGAGUUGUUUGGGAAUGCAGCUCUAAAUGGGAGGUAAAUUUCUUCUAAAGCUAAAUACUGGCCAGAGACCGAUAGCGCACAAGUAGAGUGAUCGAAAGAUGAAAAGCACUUUGGAAAGAGAGUCAAAUAGCACGUGAAAUUGUUGAAAGGGAAGCGCUUGCAGCCAGACUUGCCUGUAGUUGCUCAUCCGGGCUCUCGCCCGGUGCACUCUUCUACAGGCAGGCCAGCAUCAGUUUGGGCGGUUGGAUAAAGGUCUCUGUCACGUACCUCCUCUCGGGGAGGCCUUAUAGGGGAGACGACAUGCAACCAGCCUGGACUGAGGUCCGCGCAAUUGCUAGGAUGCUGGCGUAAUGGCUGUAAGCGGCCCGUCUUGAAACACGGACCAAGGAGUCUAACAUCUAUGCGAGUGUUUGGGUGUCAAGCCCGAGCGCGCAAUGAAAGUGAACGGAGGUGGGAACCCUUUUGGGGUGCACCAUCGACCGAUCCUGAUGUCUUCGGAUGGAUUUGAGUAAGAGCAUGGCUGUUGGGACCCGAAAGAUGGUGAACUAUGCUUGAAUAGGGUGAAGCCAGAGGAAACUCUGGUGGAGGCUCGCAGCGGUUCUGACGUGCAAAUCGAUCGUCAAAUUUGGGCAUAGGGGCGAAAGACUAAUCGAACUAUCUAGUAGCUGGUUCCUGCCGAAUUUCCCCUCAGGAAG